rnacentral:rRNA from 1 species
UACGGAGGGUCCAAGCGUUAUCCGGAAUCAUUGGGUUUAAAGGGUCCGUAGGCGGCCCGGUAAGUCAGUGGUGAAAUCUCCCCGCUCAACGGGGAAACGGCCAUUGAUACUGCCGGGCUUGAAUUACCAGGAAGUAACUAGAAUAUGUAGUGUAGCGGUGAAAUGCUUAGAUAUUACAUGGAAUACCAAUUGCGAAGGCAGGUUACCACUGGUAUAUUGACGCUGAUGGACGAAAGCGUGGGUAGCGAACAGG